rnacentral:rRNA from 1 species
GGGGAAUAUUGCACAAUGGGCGAAAGCCUGAUGCAGCAACGCCGCGUGAGUGAUGAAGGUCUUCGGAUUGUAAAGCUCUGUCUUUUGGGACGAUAAUGACGGUACCAAAGGAGGAAGCCACGGCUAACUACGUGCCAGCAGCCGCGGUAAUACGUAGGUGGCGAGCGUUGUCCGGAUUUACUGGGCGUAAAGGGUGCGUAGGCGGAUGUUUAAGUGAGAUGUGAAAUACCCGGGCUUAACUUGGGUGCUGCAUUUCAAACUGGAUAUCUAGAGUGCAGGAGAGGAGAAUGGAAUUCCUAGUGUAGCGGUGAAAUGCGUAGAGAUUAGGAAGAACACCAGUGGCGAAGGCGAUUCUCUGGACUGUAACUGACGCUGAGGCACGAAAGCGUGGGUAGCAAACAGGAUUAGAUACCCUGGUAGUCCACGCCGUAAACGAUGAGUACUAGGUGUAGGAGGUAUCGACCCCUUCUGUGCCGCAGUAAACACAUUAAGUACUCCGCCUGG